CCACGACAGCAUGAGCAAAUCUAUGAUGAAUGCUACUAGUAUUUGAAAGACUUUCAUUCUAUUUCCAUUAGUCAUUAUAGUAGGGAUUUUAAUGUUGUGGCUCAUGAGCUAGCUAGGUAAGCUUUGAUAGGCAAAAAUUCUUUUGUUUGGAUAAAUGACCUUCCUGCCUACAUUUGGUAAUUGUUUGUAAAUGAUGUAACCAUCUUGUCAAAAAAAUAAAAAGAAAAACUGAGUACUCCGAAAGCAUAGGGGACCCGGCUCCUCAAGGCACCGAGCUAAUAAAUGAGCAGAGGGACUCGGACGACCCUAACAUAGUGACACAUAUAUUUCUUAAAAUUGAAGGAGAUGGUCCUGACGCAACAUCAACAUGUGUAAUAGUAGAUACACUAC
rnacentral:lncRNA from 1 species